rnacentral:rRNA from 1 species
GGGUUGUGAGGUUAAGCGACUAAGCGUACACGGUGGAUGCCCUGGCAGUCAGAGGCGAUGAAGGACGUGCUAAUCUGCGAAAAGCGUCGGUAAGGUGAUAUGAACCGUUAUAGCCGGCGAUGUCCGAAUGGGGAAACCCAGUGUGAUUCGUCACACUAUCGUUAACUGAAUACAUAGGUUAACGAGGCGAACCGGGGGAACUGAAACAUCUAAGUACCCCGAGGAAAAGAAAUCAACCGAGAUUCCCCCAGUAGCGGCGAGCGAACGGGGAGCAGCCCAGAGUCUGAAUCAGCUUGUGUGUUAGUGGAACGGUCUGGAAAGUCCGACGGUACAGGGUGAUAGUCCCGUACACCAAAAUGCACAGGCUGUGAACUCGAAGAGUAGGGCGGGACACGUGGUAUCCUGUCUGAAUAUGGGGGGACCAUCCUCCAAGGCUAAAUACUCCUGACUGACCGAUAGUGAACCAGUACCGUGAGGGAAAGGCGAAAAGAACCCCGGCGAGGGGAGUGAAAAAGAACCUGAAACCGUGUACGUACAAGCAGUGGGAGCACCUUCGGGUGUGACUGCGUACCUUUUGUAUAAUGGGUCAGCGACUUAUAUUCUGUAGCAAGGUUAACCGUAUAGGGGAGCCGCAGGGAAACCGAGUCUUAACUGGGCGUUAAGUUGCAGGGUAUAGACCCGAAACCCGGUGAUCUAGCCAUGGGCAGGUUGAAGGUUGGGUAACACUAACUGGAGGACCGAACCGACUAAUGUUGAAAAAUUAGCGGAUGACUUGUGGCUGGGGGUGAAAGGCCAAUCAAACCGGGAGAUAGCUGGUUCUCCCCGAAAGCUAUUUAGGUAGCGCCUCGUGAACUCAUCUUCGGGGGUAGAGCACUGUUUCGGCUAGGGGGUCAUCCCGACUUACCAACCCGAUGCAAACUACGAAUACCGAAGAAUGUUAUCACGGGAGACACACGGCGGGUGCUAACGUCCGUCGUGAAGAGGGAAACAACCCAGACCGCCAGCUAAGGUCCCAAAGUCAUGGUUAAGUGGGAAACGAUGUGGGAAGGCACAGACAGCCAGGAUGUUGGCUUAGAAGCAGCCAUCAUUUAAAGAAAGCGUAAUAGCUCACUGGUCGAGUCGGCCUGCGCGGAAGAUGUAACGGGGCUAAACCAUGCACCGAAGCUGCGGCAGCGACACUAUGUGUUGUUGGGUAGGGGAGCGUUCUGUAAGCCUGCGAAGGUGACCUGUGAGGGUUGCUGGAGGUAUCAGAAGUGCGAAUGCUGACAUAAGUAACGAUAAAGCGGGUGAAAAGCCCGCUCGCCGGAAGACCAAGGGUUCCUGUCCAACGUUAAUCGGGGCAGGGUGAGUCGACCCCUAAGGCGAGGCCGAAAGGCGUAGUCGAUGGGAAACAGGUUAAUAUUCCUGUACUUGGUGUUACUGCGAAGGGGGGACGGAGAAGGCUAUGUUAGCCGGGCGACGGUUGUCCCGGUUUAAGCAUGUAGGCUGAUUAUCCAGGCAAAUCCGGAUAAUCAAGGCUGAGGUGUGAUGACGAGGCACUACGGUGCUGAAGUAACAAAUGCCCUGCUUCCAGGAAAAGCCUCUAAGCAUCAGGUAACAUCAAAUCGUACCCCAAACCGACACAGGUGGUCAGGUAGAGAAUACCAAGGCGCUUGAGAGAACUCGGGUGAAGGAACUAGGCAAAAUGGUGCCGUAACUUCGGGAGAAGGCACGCUGGUGUGUAGGUGAAGUCCCUGCGGAUGGAGCUGAGACCAGUCGAAGAUACCAGCUGGCUGCAACUGUUUAUUAAAAACACAGCACUGUGCAAACACGAAAGUGGACGUAUACGGUGUGACGCCUGCCCGGUGCCGGAAGGUUAAUUGAUGGGGUUAUCCGUAAGGAGAAGCUCUUGAUCGAAGCCCCGGUAAACGGCGGCCGUAACUAUAACGGUCCUAAGGUAGCGAAAUUCCUUGUCGGGUAAGUUCCGACCUGCACGAAUGGCGUAAUGAUGGCCAGGCUGUCUCCACCCGAGACUCAGUGAAAUUGAACUCGCUGUGAAGAUGCAGUGUACCCGCGGCAAGACGGAAAGACCCCGUGAACCUUUACUAUAGCUUGACACUGAACAUUGAGCCUUGAUGUGUAGGAUAGGUGGGAGGCUUUGAAGCGUGGACGCCAGUCUGCGUGGAGCCAACCUUGAAAUACCACCCUUUAAUGUUUGAUGUUCUAACGUUGGCCCCUUAUCGGGGUUGCGGACAGUGUCUGGUGGGUAGUUUGACUGGGGCGGUCUCCUCCCAAAGCGUAACGGAGGAGCACGAAGGUUAGCUAAUCCUGGUCGGACAUCAGGAGGUUAGUGCAAUGGCAUAAGCUAGCUUGACUGCGAGCGUGACGGCGCGAGCAGGUGCGAAAGCAGGUCAUAGUGAUCCGGUGGUUCUGAAUGGAAGGGCCAUCGCUCAACGGAUAAAAGGUACUCCGGGGAUAACAGGCUGAUACCGCCCAAGAGUUCAUAUCGACGGCGGUGUUUGGCACCUCGAUGUCGGCUCAUCACAUCCUGGGGCUGAAGUAGGUCCCAAGGGUAUGGCUGUUCGCCAUUUAAAGUGGUACGCGAGCUGGGUUUAGAACGUCGUGAGACAGUUCGGUCCCUAUCUGCCGUGGGCGCUGGAGAAUUGAGGGGGGCUGCUCCUAGUACGAGAGGACCGGAGUGGACGCAUCACUGGUGUUCGGGUUGUCAUGCCAAUGGCACUGCCCGGUAGCUAAAUGCGGAAGAGAUAAGUGCUGAAAGCAUCUAAGCACGAAACUUGCCCCGAGAUGAGUUCUCCCUGAGACUUUAAGUCUCCUGAAGGAACGUUAAAGACGAUGACGUUGAUAGGCCGGGUGUGUAAGCGCAGCGAUGCGUUGAGCUAACCGGUACUAAUGAACCGUGAGGCUUAACCUUACAACGCCGAAG